rnacentral:lncRNA from 1 species
GACGAGUCCAUUUCAGAACAUCUUCAUCUUCCUUCUGCCCAGCACUGGCUCUCUAGUGCCCGGCUCUGGUGGAAAGUGUUCCUUCUGGGUAAUUGACUGUUACCAUGUAACGCUCAGUCUUUUCAAAACUGCUACAUAACUAUGCUGCUGGCGCCCCUUCUCACUCUACCUCUCUCUGCCCUCUUCAGAAGACACUUCCCAUAUCCGUUUCUGUGGUUCACCUUUCUCACGCUGACGUCUGGAACAGUUAGACAGGAACACACAGUUACGACCAGGGUGGGAUGUUACCCUGGUGUCCCAAGAAAGAAAUUAGUUUUUUCCUGCAAGCAGUCCCAUCAUGAAGCAGCCCCCACAUCACGUCAGCAAAUAGAUCUAUGUUGAAUCCAAACCCCAUUUCUAAUUCUGCUAGAUUGCAAUAGAUCUGCUUGCAAAGAAGAGAUUUUAGUGCUCCCUGAUGAAAACAUGGAAAUAUGCAAGAGAGAAUUCAAUGGCAUUCCCAGUCUCUCUCUUGCAGACACUGAAUAAAAGGUAUAGGCAGACCCCAAAGCUACCUAAGACCCCAGUCCCUUGUCAGAAGAGCAGUCUCUUUCAAAGUGGCCACUCAUCAGCCAGGCCCACAACAGACUCCCAGCACAUAACACCAAGCCCUUGUCUCUGAUCUCCCAGGAAGCCUGGUGUUCUCCCUCCACUCACCCAAAUCCGACUUCUGGAAGCCCAGGAAGGAGUCACAGCCUGCUUGACAUUUCCUGGUGAUACCAAGUUGCUGCUCUGUCCUAAAAAAUUAGUUGUUUUCCAGGGCUUUCAGAAAUUUACAGAAUGCCCGUACUCUAAAUGUGUACCAAAAAGAGAGAGAAAUAAAGGCACAAAGAAAGUUU